rnacentral:rRNA from 1 species
AGCAUUAUAUAGUGAAACUGCGAAUGGCUCAUUAAAUCAGUUAUCGUUUAUUUGAUAGUACCUUACUACUUGGAUAACCGUGGUAAUUCUAGAGCUAAUACAUGCUAAAAACCCCAACUUCGGGAGGGGUGUAUUUAUUAGAUAAAAAACCAAUGCCCUCCGGGGCUCUUUGGUGAUUCAUGAUAACUUAACGGAUCGCAUGGCCUUGCGCCGGCGACGGUUCAUUCAAAUUUCUGCCCUAUCAACUUUCGAUGGUAAGGUAUUGGCUUACCAUGGUUUCAACGGGUAACGGGGAAUUAGGGUUCGAUUCCGGAGAGGGAGCCUGAGAAACGGCUACCACAUCCAAGGAAGGCAGCAGGCGCGCAAAUUACCCAAUCCCGACACGGGGAGGUAGUGACAAUAAAUACUGAUACAGGGCUCUUUUGGGUCUUGUAAUUGGAAUGAGUACAAUUUAAACCCCUUAACGAGGAACAAUUGGAGGGCAAGUCUGGUGCCAGCAGCCGCGGUAAUUCCAGCUCCAAUAGCGUAUAUUAAAGUUGUUGCAGUUAAAAAGCUCGUAGUUGAAACUUGGGCCUGGCUGUCUGGUCCGCCUCACCGCGUGUACUGGUUCGGCCGGGCCUUUCCUUCUGGAGAGCCUCAUGCCCUUCACUGGGUGUGUUGGGGAACCAGGACUUUUACUUUGAAAAAAUUAGAGUGUUCAAAGCAGGCCUUUGCUCGAAUACGUUAGCAUGGAAUAAUAGAAUAGGACGUGCGAUCCUAUUUUGUUGGUUUCUAGGACCGCCGUAAUGAUUAAUAGGGAUAGUCGGGGGCAUCAGUAUUCAAUUGUCAGAGGUGAAAUUCUUGGAUUUAUUGAAGACUAACUACUGCGAAAGCAUUUGCCAAGGAUGUUUUCAUUAAUCAGUGAACGAAAGUUAGGGGAUCGAAGACGAUCAGAUACCGUCGUAGUCUUAACCGUAAACUAUGCCGACUAGGGAUCGGGCGAUGUUAUUAUUUUGACUCGCUCGGCACCUUACGAGAAAUCAAAGU